UCUUGUCUUUGGUUUAAAGCAAGUUGUCUGAAGUGCUGAUUAAGAUUAUCUAUUUCUAAAUUGUAAAAUAAUAGAAAGGACUUAAAUAAAAAUAAAAAAAGAUAAUGUUUUAUAAUUUCAAUAACUUUACCGGACGACUGGUUGGAGCAACACACAUGCAGCCUUAUUAUCCUGUGAGUUCAAGACCGCUUGACAAGGGUGAACCCCCAAGGAUUAUAUUUGAAACUCCAAAUGUGAAAAUUGCCAAGGCACCUAUGCCUCCAGUCAGUUCCUCUGCUUCUGGUGAAAAACCUCUGUUUCAAGGAGGCAUUCCACAGAAACUUAAAGACAAACAGAAGCUUUUUCAGAAGCCAGAUGGUGUCCCUGUGUAUCUGAAAGGCGGUCCAUUCGACAGAGUGUUGUUUGGAUUGACACUUGCAAUAGGUGCUGUUAGCUUUGCUUUGGCCACUAAAUUUUUUUAUGAGGCUGCAUAUCCCAA